AUGAAAUUAAAUAAUUGCAUCGUUUCAAACGGAUAAGUAAAAAAGUGUAUUUACAAAUAGUUGACAGUUGUGUAAUUUCAAAUUCAAAUUGUAGUUGAAAUAGUGAACCUAUAAGCACCUAGGUACCUAAUCGAUGUUAUGUGCUACUAACUUAUCACCUUGCUCUCGUUAGUAUUGAAUAAAAAAAAACAAAUGGACAUACUUCGCACGAUG